AGACAAGUAUUAUAACAAAUAUGUGACAAAAUAGAUACAUAAAACACUGUAUUGAAAUGUAUGUUGUGCAAUGAAUCGAACAACUAGUUAACAUCCAUUUACAGAGAAUAGUGCACACUUCUGUAUACAGUAUUUGCAGUGAGAAUACGGUGUUAAAAAAUGCUGGCAUUUUGAGACUUUUCUGCAAGUUCGGUUAAUCUUUUCUUUUUGAUAUUUCUCCAUCAUCAUUGGUCAUUCUUGAGAAACUACAAAUUUAUUAUUAUAUUAUUAUUAUCGUUAGUGAUUUAAUUUGCUUUCCAAUGAAUGUAGAUAGACUAAUCAAUAAAAGGUGGUUUAUUUAUUUACUAAAGGACCUAUGAAAGAGUUUUGUUGAU